GACGAACGCUGGCGGCGUGCUUAACACAUGCAAGUCGAGCGGAGCGGCGAACGGGUGAGUAACGCGUGAGUAACUGCCCCCCUCUCUGGGAUAACAGUUGGAAACGGCUGCUAAUACCGGAUAGUGGGGGAUGACUCGCGUCCUAUCAGCUUGUUGGUGGGGUAGUGGCCUAACAAGGCGACGACGGGUAGCCGGCCUGGGAGGGCGACCGGCCACAUGGGGCUGAGAUACGUCCCAAACGCCUACUGGAGGCAGCAGUGGGGAAUAUUGCACAAUGGGGGAACCCCUGGUGCAGAAACGCCGCGUGCGGGAUGACGGCCUUCGGGUUGUAAACCGCUGUCAGCCAGGACGCGGUAGUGGCAGAAGAAGCACCGGCGAACUACGUGCCAGCAGCCGCGGUAAUUC
rnacentral:rRNA from 1 species